CGUGUCUCGGUCUCAGCUAAACUUUUGAAAAAACUGUUUACAAAUGUUCUUCCAGGGCAGGGGCUGGACAAGUCACUUUUGGAUCCCCUUCCAAUUCUGUGAUUCUGGACCUAAAAACUAGGCAAUGAGCAGAGAGCAUCCUGGGACAUCGUUCUGGUCAGCUGCCCGCCCUGCCCCCUCCACCUGCUCUGAGCCAGGAGCUGGGGAGAGAGACCCACGCUUCAACCAACUCAGCUUUCCGGGCAGUGGGUUUAAAGGAAACCUUUAAAUAGCAGCAGCUGUUGCUUUCUCAGGGAAGUUUCUGGGAACAUGUCUGCUUAGUUCAGGUCACAUUUUGAGAUUCUCUUUAGGACGACUCUACUAAGAAAUAUCAAGCGUUAGUCUCCUAAAGCAGUUUAGUCACACAUUCAGAAGUUUAUGUCAUUCACACACACUGAGAAACUGAAUAGACAGAUGGACAAUGGCCAGAACAUACACAAAAAUAGAACCUUGGCCCGUCACCUGCAGCAACGGCCCAGGACACCGCCCCCUUGUCUACAAACGACCAGCCAGGAAGCCGGCCUGCUGUGCAGCAGGCUUGCGGGAGCCAGACAACUACGUCCUGUGACACCAGGAGGCUAAACUCUGGGACAAUCAGCCCCCAGUGGCCAGGACUUGGGCUCAGCCAGAAAUCGGGACCCCCAUCGGAAGGGACAGCUGAAUCUGCUGGACAUCAGAGGCGGACGCCCAGGGCCCUGCGCUCACACGGCCAGGAAGCCAAAGGAGAGAACAAGGCGAGAGGCAGAGCCCGAGGCCUGCGGACCCCACAGCUAACUGCACCUGUGCUCCCAGCAUCUGUGGUCCAAGGGUGGACAAUGACAUGGCCUUGAAGGGAAGAAGGCUGGAAACCAACAGCUUGACGGGGUAGAGACCAGACCUCAGACACCAACACAACGGAAAGAAAAUGAAUGUCACCUGAAUUCUUCUGACACGAAGAGGUGUGCUCCCUUCCUAUGAAACUCUGAAAAGUCACCCACAGUGGGGAAGCCUCUGUGUGUGCGUGUGUGUGUGUGUGUGUGUGUGUGUGUGUGUGUACAUGUGCAGAGGAUCAUAUUUGGAAAGGUACAAGAGAGUCCAAAAUCCAGGCCGGAGAUGGACUUUGGAAUCCAUUCCAUAUUAUGGGACUUUUAACUGGAAAUGUUUACCGACUUUGGAAUC